rnacentral:rRNA from 1 species
UACGGAGGGUGCAAGCGUUUGUCCGGAUUCAUUGGGUUUAAAGGGUGCGCAGGCGGGACAUUAAGUCAGGGGUGAAAGACGGUUGCUCAACAAUCGCAGUGCCUUUGAUACUGGUGUUCUUGGGUGACCUUGAGGUAGGCGGAAUGGGGUGGUGUAGCGGUGAAAUGCAUAGAUACCACCCCAGAACUCCGAUUGCGAAGGCAGCCUACUGGAGGUUUUACCCGACGCUCAGGCACGAAAAGCGUGGGGGGAUCAAAACAGG